rnacentral:rRNA from 1 species
AACGAACGCUGGCGGCAGGCUUAACACAUGCAAGUUGACGGGAUGUUUGAUAGCUUGCUAUUGAACAUGAGAGUAGCGCACUGGUGAGUAACACGUGGGAACAUACCUUGAAGUGGGGAACAACAGUUGGAAACGACUGCUAAUACCGCAUACGCCCUGAGGGGGAAAGAUUUAUCGCUUUAAGAUUGGCCCGCGGAAGAUUAGGUAGUUGGUGGGGUAAUAGCCUACCAAGCCGACGAUCUAUAGCUGGUCUGAGAGGACGAACAGCCACAUUGGAACUGAGACACGGUCCAAACUCCUACGGGAGGCAGCAGUGGGGAAUAUUGCACAAUGGGCGAAAGCCUGAUGCAGCGACGCCGCGUGAGCGAAGAAGUAUUUCGGUAUGUAAAGCUCUAUCAGCAGGGAAGAAAAAUGACGGUACCUGACUAAGAAGCACCGGCUAAAUACGUG